rnacentral:snoRNA from 1 species
UGACCCUUACUUGAGCGGCAUCUAGUAGGUGGUGCCCAUCUCACAACAGACAGGGACAAAGCAACCCUUUGUUUAUCCCAGCUUGGCUUUUGGUCUGUGCCCAUGCCUGGUUCAUGUCUUGGACACAUAG